rnacentral:tRNA from 1 species
AGGGGUAUAGUUUAGUGGUAGAGUGCGUGCAUAGCAUGCAUGAGGUCCUGGGUUCAAUCCUCAGUACUUCCA